GUCUAAAUAUUGACAUUGCUCCUCAGUUGAGAUGUUUGAUACUGCUGAGGAUAGAAAAGGCGCAGCUAAAAGUAGGAUCUAAUGAUAUAUUUUUGCAUGGUUGUGCCUUCCUUCCACUUCCACUUCCUUUUCUUUUUUCUUUCUUUUUUUUUUUUUUUUUUGGAGAGGGCGUUGGAGUCCCUGGUCUGCAGCAUCUCCCCUCUCCACCCCUCACCCCAUUGUUCUCCCCGAGCACACAGACACGCAAGCACUGCCAAAUAUAGUGAGGAACAGUAAAGAUGGCCUUGUUGUGAGUCCAGUCCAUUGGUUUUGGAGUCAAGUAACAAGAAUUCCAGACUAUAGUUAAUCAACUCUUUGUGGGAAGAUUUCCUUGGGCAAG